UAUGUAUAUACAUAUAUAUAUAUAUGUUCAGCCUGGGCAGGGGCCACCUCCCUGCUUGGUUGAUUAUGUUUUACAAGUGCAAGAACAUGUGGGAAGUGUCACCUACCUCCUCCAUGGCAGGGUAGCAGACCCCUAUCUAGGUGCUGAGGUCUACACAGCCCCCUCAUACCAACCCGGUUUUGCCCCACACCCAAGGGAUCCUAGCUUCUAUAAGCCAUCCUUCCUGCUUUGCACGCCACGUGUGCUCACAACACAUUUCUGUGUCUGACCUGCCCACCCCUGCCGCUUGUCCCCUAGCAUAUGUUCUUAUCUCCCAGUUGAGGCCAAGUAUAAAUAACCACCGCAUACAACCCUAGUCUCAUGUUUACCACAUGUGCUGACAUUCUGGGCCUCACAGGUCAGCAGCGGAUUCGGAGAUAGGGUGGGAGACCCAGGGCUCAGUUUGGGAUGCUUGUCCCAGAAAUAGACAUGAGGCACAGAAGGCAGAAGGCAGAACUAUAGACUCACCAGGCUGAGCACUCCAUCCAGGGCAGCACCAGCAUGGGCAGGAGGGGGGGUGGCAUUUGUGUGACAGUUCUGGGGCUUAGACUAUGGCCUAAGGAGGUCUCCUUCAUAGGAUACCUAUGAUAGGGAUAUGUAGUCAUUGGUUGGUUUCCUCAUUAGUGUCCCUGGGGACUGAAGCCUAGACCGAAAGAUGGAUUAAAUUAGCAGCAGGACCGCAAAGGCCCGGGGGUGGGAGCCAGGUAAUUGGGCUCCCACCUGAUGGGAGCCACUAGCCUCUUGUCAGGGAAGGGAAACUGAGUCCCCAGGUGGGAUAGGCUUCAGCCAGACAAACUCUUGAGGUGCUGGGCACCAUAGGCCUACAGAGCAGACUUCACAGGGUGGGGUCCGGGAGGUAAGUAUACAAGUAGAAUAUAUUGCUGGACCUGGGGAGACUCUGAAGCCCUUUAGGUAAUGGGACUGUGACCAGAACUGAAUUCCUAGGAGAGACUGACAGCACACACCUGUAAUCCCAGCUACUUGGGAGACUGAGAUAAAAGUAUCACAAGUUAAAAGAGGGCAUGGGCCUUCAUGUCCCUGUGUCUCAAUAAAAAUGAAAGAACAGGGCAUGGUGGUCUGCGCCUUUAACUGCAGCACUCGGAAGGCAGAGGCAGGCGGAUGUCGCUGAGGACGAGAGGAUGACCUGACUCAACCAAAAGCCGUUUCUAACAGCUGUGCUCUAGAGGCCUCAGUUUCCCCACGGUUUGUGGCUGGGCCUGAGGCAUAUCAGCUUCGAUGUUGUCUCUGCCGACCUUGGUAAGUGACCUUACCCAUUAUCGACCUGGCCUGCCUGUUUGCUCUAUAGUCAAAAUCAAUAAGGAACAAGGCCUCAAGGGACCAGGACAGGGCCGCAGAUGCUGGUGGCCACACCUCAGGGACUCAGGGUGGUCUGUCCUCUGUGGAAGUCACUGCCGUCUUCCUGCCUCUACUCCUUCCUGGAGGAUCCAGGAGGGACAGUGUAAAUGUAAGCUGUCACUGCACGUGUCUUCUGCCAAGGAUGGGCAGAAGAUGGGCAGUGUGUGUGUGAGAAGUGAGUGAAGAUGAGGGUACGGAUGGGGUAGGGGUCAGUAGUGAUAGGUUGGCAGGAGUCGGGAGGGGGCCCAGGGAAAAGUGCCUUGACUUUCUGCAGUGUGGGGGAUGGCAUCGGUCCCACCACCCUCUCCCAGAGCUAUUUCUGGUCUUGUAUGCUGAAUUGUUCUGCCUUGUAACUGUGGUCUCUUCUGGGCUGCCUCAGCAGGCCAGCCCCUCUACAGCCUUCUGACCCCAGCUCAGUAUACCCAUGGAGAUGUCUUCCCAGCCGCAGAUAGCAUGGGAGGUUCCUGUGCCCCAGGGACUAUCCAGCCCCCACUGGCUGCCCUGGCCACAUAGCAGUUGUCCCUCAUGAGCUGGCUAUACUUUCCUUGACAACCCUCAGGUAGCAUGUACCCCCAUGCUUACCUCCCCUUACUUUUAAAUUGCUGCAGUGUAGGAGCGGGGCUUUGCUACUCAGUGCCUCAGUUUCCUCGUCUGGAAAUAGAUGCUGGUGAUGGAAAGAGAAUGUGAUUCUCCGUGGCACUGACUGGUACCGGCGGGGAGGCUUUCUCCAAAGUCUGUGGGGGGUAGUCCUUGAGAGAGACACAGGGAUCCAAGGGCACCCGGCUGGUAGAAGGACGAAAGUCGGUGCCCUGGAUAUGCAAGGCCGUCAGCCUGCACUGUGCUUGGCCUCAUCAGGUGAGGACAAGAGGACGUGCCCACGGGAUGUCAGGCUAGGCUAGGGUGGUGGUGGAGAGAAUGCAAGAAUGCAGCAGGCUGGGAAGAUGCUAAGGAAGGCAAUCUCAGCUCAGCAGCUCACUGGGCUGCUGAGGUGAGCUGCUGACCUCAGCAGUGCCUGCCUGCUGGCUCAAGUGGCUGCUGGGCAAGGCCCCAGAAGCCUCCACCCACCUGGUCCCUCCCUUUCCAUUUUUCCCUCUUCACACCGUCUGGUUCCCUGGCUUCUUUCUCUCUGCCCCUGCCUCUUUCUGCCUCCUCUUUCUCCCCGCUCCUCUUUCCUUCCAUCUCUCCCAUCUCUCUCCCCUACUCCCUCUUCAGUGAAUGUGAUUCUGCACUCUUGACUCCAAAGAGCUCCUGGCACAGACGCCAAGUGCCCGGUGUAGCCCAGUGGUUGUGUCCUGCCUGAUCAGGCUGCCCCAAGUGGAGGAGGACCCCAGGGUCUGUACUCAGUUAUUGCCCUCCCUGAGGAAUCUCCGAGCCAUGUGCCCUUUCCCUCAUAUCCCUGUGGCCCCCCAGAUGACCACUAACCACUAAGCCAGAAGCCACUAACCGUGACCCAGUUCCAACAGCCAGUGUGUUCCCCUUGGAAAAACCCUGGAGGAGAUCCACACACAAGUCGGAUGAAAACUGACUUCAGUAUAGCUGGAGACACACCACUUCGUGCAUAGCUUGUAAGGCUGACUCAGUGGCUGCAGAGUCCUAAGGGGUCUUGAUGUGGAUUCCAUGUGAGAUGGAUGGGCCCCCUCCCCAGGACCACUUUCUGCCCAUGUGUGCAUGCUGGGCACCUUCUGAGAUGGGAACAUGGAAGAGCCUGGCUGGGUGGCAGGUGGAGGCUACAGGGAGGCAAGAGGGCCAGGCUGCUCCCCAGAAGGAAGGCCGUCUCAGAUGAAAAUCUGUGGGCACAUUUGCAAUGGAACAAAGUGAGCACGGAGGGGUCCAGGCCUGAAGUUCAGAGAUCUUGUGGCUCAAAGCACUGCGGAAGCCACAAGAAUGAGCCAACGCAGGCCAUGUAAGGUGGCAGACGGAGAGACACUGAAUAUGGCAGCCCUGGGGUGGGGUCAGGGAACAUCCUCGCCGCCUGGUCAGGUGUCCGGUGUUUCCCCAAACCCCUGCUGUGAACACAAGCCAUGCUGCAAAGUUGGGUUUGAUUAUCUCAUAAAAAGAUGCCCCUUAUGCUUGCUCAGCGCAGGGGUUGCCAUGGAGACCGCGGGCAGGCCCCAAGGGGGUCCAGGCUGGAGCCAAUUACUGUGGCUACGGCAGAAGAGGCUACCCCAGCCCCUGUGCUGACAGGGUGGGUAAGAAGGGCCGCCUCUCAGAAGUUGAUUUCCAACAGGAGCACAGCUGUGUCUUUUACCUUCUGCCUGACAAGACUGAGCAUAUAGCCGCGCCUCCCAUUCCCGACCUCAGCCCUGGACCUGUCAAUGGGCCACCUCACUACUGGGAGCUACAGUCUACCGCUGGUGUGGUGGAUGACACAGAGAUUGGUGGUGUUUUCAGUGUAUGUGAGGUCCAGUUGGCAGCAUGGCACUGUGGGUAAUAGGUGGUCUGUGGUAUACCAGGGCUGAUAACGUGCCCCCCAGUCAUCCAUGACGGUAAAAUUUCCAGCCUGGCCCUGGGUGCGUGAAGGCCCCCCACUUACCCAGCUUUUGUGACAGCAGUUAAGGCAUCAGGGCUGCUGAUGCAGCUGCACCCCACUGUCCUGGGGAGGGCAUGUAAGAAGAGAAUGUGAGAAGCUGCUUAGACAGAACCUCAGACCCAAGUACAGCCCACAUAUGUCCAGCCUGGGGCGGGGCAGGGACAGGCAUCCAUGGAUUGCCUCCUGGGCCUGGCUUGCCACCAUAGCUGUCAACAAAUGACUCCAGGUCCAGCAAACCGGCUCACUGAAUGAAAUCGCUGAGAAGAGGGCCCCAGAGCCUGGAAGCUUGCCCGGCUGUUAGGCAUGCCUGGCCUGAGGGGGUCUAGAGUUAAGACUGCACCAUGCAGAAGAGGACCCAGUGGUAGGGCCCAGUGUGAAGUAGAUGUCCCCAGAGGUCAAGGCUGGGUAGGGAAGGCUGGAUCCUGGUCUUUUCCCAACUCCGAGCAGUUUGCCAGCCUCGGCCUCCUGGCUGCAGAAUCCUGCUCUUAGCUAGCUGCCAAGAAAGGUGUUAGCUGUCAACACAGGUGUUAGCUGUCAAUGACGGUGUUAGCUGAUAAGCCAUAACCCUCCCAGGGGGAUUCACAUUUUUAAUAGACUCACUCCUGAAAGAGCCUUCGGCAUUCAAGAGGGAUGGGGCUCUGGUGACAAUCCAAGGAGCCUUUUCCUAGGAAUAUAGCACCCCAGCCCUAGCGGCCGCUGCCGAGUAUAUAGGUCCUUGGUCACACCCAGGUAUAUCUGGCCCAGGGACCUAGGAUGGGGCCUGAUGCCUUGGGGCCACUGAGAGAAGUAGGGUGGCAACCAACAGGGAUGGGCAGGCAGGCUGGGAAGGGAUGGAGCGGAGAAUGAGGCCGGUGGAGGAGGCUGCAGAAGGUGUUCAGAGCCAAGUCAGGAAGUGCUUAAAAGGGAGGUGGUGUGGAGGAGGGAGCAGCCUGCCCUGGGGGCCUGGGAGAGGCCCUCUCUCCCCACCUGCCCCACACCCAGGCUCCUCUUCCUCAGACAGCAGGGGUGCUAGUGAGGAGACCUACCCCAGGCCUCAGGAGACCCCUACAGACAGAGCCCUUCAGGGGCUCAAGCAUAGCUCCCAUUUUGGCACGAGGAGAUUCCCUGUGAUUCCAGCUGCCAGAAGUUAUCAAAAGCUAUAAUGGCCUGGGCAGGCCUAGAUUGUGAGCCUCAGCCCCUCCUCUGCUCCUGGGCCAAGGGACCUGGCAAGCCUAGGGAUGAGUCUCAGACUGCUCCUACGGGGUUUCUCAGAUUCCCCUUCUUCUUUAGCCUGUAGCCUGGUGGGACUGAUUUGAGCAGACCAAGGAUAAAGCUAAGACCAAUGAAGACAAACAACAGCCGGGUUCCAGGGGCUGUAUGCUCUGGAGUGCAGAGAUGGAAGCCGGCUGCUGGCAUGGGUGUUAUGGCUACAAGCCUGGCGGGUAGCAGCACCAUGUCCUGGCGCUUGUGUGUGCUACAAUGAGCCCAAGGUGACAACAAGUUGCCCCCAACAGGGCCUGCAGGCUGUGCCCACAGGCAUUCCAG